rnacentral:sRNA from 1 species
UUUGUAUUGAGACGAAGAGGACGCGCAGUCCGAUGUAUUUAUGUCACGUAUGAUGGUGCUUUUAUUAUCGAUGUGUUAUUCUGAUUAUGGAAUUGAAAAUUGAACUGUGAGUAUGGUAAAUAAAACAUUUACAUUUCCUCGGUUAAAUGAAACAGAAAAUGAUUGACCUUUGAUUUUAAACAGUAACCUUUUCUAUCUGAUUAUUAUAGUUGGCGAUGCCCACAAUGCAAGAGCGACUUGUCCGGUAGAAGAAUGCGGCGAUCGAGAAAAUGACAAGAAUUUAGAAACCAGGGUCAUUGCAGUCAUCCCAAGACAGGGUGUGGCAGCGCCACCUUUUGAAACCAUCGUCACUCCAAGAGACUUUGUUUUAGAUCGCUACAUGAAUAUCAAAAUCCGAAAAUGAAAUGAAAGUACUCUAGGGUGAACACGGUGUGAACAGAAAUAACAAGACGUCUUGUUCUGCUGGCCUACUCCUAGUGACUUGAAUGAAUAUAAUUGUUUCUCUUAUUUAACUGAUUUGUUUUAUUAACUUCAAGACAAUUUAAUUGUAUUUCUACUUAAAAGAUUUUAGUAUAGAACUAGCUUUUGUUUAUUUUUUUUUAGUUGCAGUGUUUAUGUAAUUUAUUUGUCAGCCAGUCAGUAGCUUACACGUGAAUAGGCUUGACGUGAGCUCAAAGGCUUACAAGAAAUAAUUUCAAUUCUUAUACAUAAAUCAGAUUCUGUAGACUUUGAGAUAUGCAAUAUGUAAUCAUCUUCUUUUUUUUUUGAAGUAACGUCUGUAUCAUAUAAGAUAAGAUUAGAUAUGUUGGAGGACUAACAUUUGAAAUAAAAAAAUAUAAAGUAUGUCUAUUGCAUAGAUACAUCAGCUAUAAAUACCAAUAACCAAUCUCAUACUGCUAAAUUUUUUUAUCUAUUUGGUUUUAGAAUUGAUAUUUACUAAUCAGCAAGAUGUUGUUGUUUUUUUUAGUCUAUUAGCCUACAUUUUUAUUCUAUACCGGAAUAUAUAUACAGUGAUUUUUUGUGAUAAAUGUUUAAAGGUAAUGUAUAUUGGUAAUAUUAUAGAAAUAUAUACAUUAUCUACGUAUAUCUAUCUAUUUAGAUUGCACAUAUGUAAUUGAGACACCCAUGUAUACAAUGCUGUCAGUGUAAACGAUGCUUGUACAGUAUUAAGACCUAGUGUGGCAUACUAAUAAUGUAUUUGUUAUCUAAUUUGUUUUAGAAUUGAAAUUAAACAAUCAUUUUUUUUAUUCGAUUAU